GAAUGAAUAGUCUUGGUUUUAUUCUUUUUUUUUUGUAUCAAUAAAAAAUAAAAAUAAAAAAAUUGAUAUUCUAUAAUAUGUUCCCCGCUAUUCCUC
rnacentral:ribozyme from 17 species